CGUCUAUAUACGUAUAGCAUAUCAAUAAGCGGAGGAAAAGAAACUAACAAGGAUUCCCUUAGUAACGGCGAGUGAAGCGGGAAGAGCUCAAAUUUGAAAUCUUCAAGGUUCUACCUUGACGAAUUGUAGUUUAUAGAAGUGUUUUUCUGUUAGUAGAGUGGCAAAAGUUCUUUGGAAUAGGACAUCAUAGAGGGUGAGAAUCCCGUAUUUGGUCAUUCUUUCUAGCUUUGUGAUACACUUUCAACGAGUCGGAUUGUUUGGGAAUGCAGUCCAAAAUGGGUGGUAAAUUUCAUCUAAAGCUAAAUAUUGGCGAGAGACCGAUAGCGAACAAGUACCGUGAGGGAAAGAUGAAAAGAACUUUGAAAAGAGAGUUAAACAGUACGUGAAAUUGUCAAAAGGGAAGCGUUUGACACCAGUGUUGUUUUUUCCGAAAAUCAAUUACGAAUGUUUUAUUUUUUGAGGAGUUAUGACUUCAUCGGCUUGCUCCUUUCUUUAUGAAACUUUCUUAAUGCACUUUUCGGUUAACAAGUCAACAUCAAUUUCUUUUGUUGUAAAAGGGUAUGAGGAAGGUGGCUUUCUUUUCGGAGAAAGUGUUUAUAGCCUUGUGCCUCUGCAAUCGGAGAGAUUGAGGUCUGCAGCGUAGAUCCUUCGGGGUUAGAUACAUUUGUGCUAAGUUAUAGCUUUUCAUAGACAACUUGUUGACUAUGAUUUAGUCAUUGUAGCUUACUCGCUUAUGCUAUUUUACCUACGCUUAGGAUGUUGAUAUGCAUGACUGAUAU
rnacentral:rRNA from 1 species